AACACUGACAGGGUAGACCUGGUUGAUCUGAUGCUGCAGACCUACACCCAAGAGUCUGUGGAGGUGGCCAAAGAUAUUUUAAAGGAAAUUGGCAGAAAUGAUCUGGUGCAGCUGUUGUCAGACACCAGCUCAGGGUCAGAAGCUGCAGGAUCAUCAGCUUGAGCAUCUGGUGUGAACACCACAGAGGGAGAGAAACUCUGUGGAUGAACAUCUGUCUGCACUGAUCCAGAAAGUGAGCAGAGACACAUCUGUCUGACUCUACACAACAUUUAAUACAUGCUGGCUGGAAUUCAUCCUCACCUUGAACUGAUAAAUUAUGACACAAACCAAAAUUGGCAUCAUGAUAAACCUGUCGCAGAAGUGAGGCUGUAUUAAUCUCUGCAGCAACAGUGAUUUCUUCAGUAAUGUAAGGAUAUUGUGAUCUCUAGAAUCGAGGAGCACAAGAGGAAACAUGAGUUUUUUAUUCUUUUCAGUCAAACUGAUUUUUCCAAAGUUUUUAACAGAAAAGUGUAAAAUGAUUGUAAAUAUUUUUAAGGAUGAAAAUCUUAAUCACAUUUGUAUGUAUUUUUGUAUUUACUGUAUAUAUUUUCUCAAAUCAUUUUUAUGUCUUAAAGCACUUUGCAGUUGCAAUUUAGAAAAAGUGACACUGUAACGAUAAAUAUGUAUUAAAAACAUAAAACAGGUACGACCAUUCAUUGCACAUACUGAGGAUGAAUGUUUGAAUGUGUUGUUUGGAACUGUAGUUUAGUUUGAUUGAGUGAUUGAUUUAUUGAUUGAUCGAUUGAGGUGUAUAUGGAUACACUGUUGUCGACUAAUGUUACUAGCUAACAUUAGCUAACUUUGGCUGCUAUUUUCAACCUAAUGGCACUAGGUUAAUUGAUCCCAGAGAUCUGGGAAAAUGCUGUUAAAAAUCUUGGCCGUGGCUAAAACCUUAGAGAAGUUUUCACAGCACGAUGUAAUUGCAUCCAACACGAGGCAUGUUUAACACGCUUUCAGGUUUGACAAAAGUUGACUUGGCUCUUCCAGACUGAAGACGGGGCGGCAGUUGCUCAGUCCAUAGAGUUUUAGGUUGGGAACUGGAGGGUCGCCUGACUGGUGGCUGGAGAGGUGCCAGUUCACCUCCUGUGCACUGCCGAGGUGCCCCUGAGCAAGGCACCGAACCCCCCAACCGCUCGGGGCGCCUCACCAAGGGCAGCCCCCUCACUCUGACAUCUCCCCACUUUGUGCAUGUAUAGGUCCUGUUUGUGCAUAUGUGUGUCUUUCGGACCUGCGUGUAAUUGACAAGCAAGAGUGAAAACAUUGAAUUUCCCCUCAGGGGGAUUAAUAAAAGUAAAUAAACUUAAGACUGUGGUUUUGGAUUCACAUCUGCUGCUCUUUCUCAGUGACUAUUUUAAAGCACUUCUCCCCUUUAUGUUCUGCUGUAUUCAGGACAUAAAGUGGCCUUGUGCUUUUUUUAUUGAUUGGGAUGGCAGUAAGCAGCGCAAUUCAAAGGCAUUGGUGCAGUGUUGGUAGACUUUGCCUCCAGCUGCUCUCCAUCUGGACAGAGCACCAAUGUAUUAUGACAUAUGCAAAGACACUAUCAUGGCUGUGCACUUUCUAAAAACAUGUUUACAUAUUGUCUAUUUGUCUGGCAUUUGUUGCUUUUCAAUAAAUA